UACGAAGGGGGCUAGCGUUGCUCGGAAUUACUGGGCGUAAAGGGUGCGUAGGCGGACAGUUUAGUCGGGGGUGAAAGCCCGGGGCUCAACCUCGGAAUUGCCUUCGAUACUGGCUGUCUUGAGUACGGGAGAGGUGUGUGGAACUCCGAGUGUAGAGGUGAAAUUCGUAAGAUAUUCGGAAGAACACCAGUGGCGAAGGCGACACACUGGCCCGUUACUGACGCUGAGGCACGAAAGCGUGGGGAGCAAACA
rnacentral:rRNA from 1 species